rnacentral:rRNA from 1 species
GACGAACGCUGGCGGCGUGCUUAACACAUGCAAGUCGAACGGAAAGGCUCCAGCUUGCUGGAGUACUCGAGUGGCGAACGGGUGAGUAACACGUGGGUAAUCUGCCCUGCACCCUGGGAUAAGCCUGGGAAACUGGGUCUAAUACUGGAUAUGACCUUUCUCCUUAUGGGGUUUGGUGGAAAGUUUUUCGGUGUAGGAUGAGCCCGCGGCCUAUCAGCUUGUUGGUGGGGUGAUGGCCUACCAAGGCGACGACGGGUAGCCGGCCUGAGAGGGUGAUCGGCCACAUUGGGACUGAGAUACGGCCCAGACUCCUACGGGAGGCAGCAGUGGGGAAUAUUGCACAAUGGGCGGAAGCCUGAUGCAGCGACGCCGCGUGAGGGAUGACGGCCUUCGGGUUGUAAACCUCUUUCAGCAGGGACGAAGCGUAAGUGACGGUACCUGCAGAAGAAGCACCGGCUAACUAUGUG